UCGUUUCGAGUGGCUGAAAGGCAAGUUAGGUCCUAAAUCUUCAGAAAAAGCUUCCUGGGUAUAUGAGGACUACCGUCCAUCCUCCUCAAGAAAGUGACAGGUUCUGAACAUAACAUACUAAAAAGUUCUCCUCUAGAUCAGAGUUUUGUACAAGUGGAGUAUAUUGAGUAGAAGAUGUAAAUGAGCAAAAGUCCUCAGGUGGAGAA